rnacentral:rRNA from 1 species
UAAAUAGCCAGGUUGACUUUUGUCGGCCGCCGGCUUCUUAGAGGGACUUUUGGCUCAAGCCAAUGGAAGUACGAGGCAAUAACAGGUUAACCUUGAGUUACAACUCAUCACAGGCCUGUAACAGUGAACCUCGUUAAAAAAAAUCACUAGUUGAGUACCUUCAUCUCUCUAGGUGGAAGUCCACC